CAGAGUCCAGCAAGAAGGGCUGGGAUUCACACUGAGCACGUGUGUCUGCCCAGGCUUGGGCUGUUUUCUGGGAUGGACUACCUGAAAUUCAUCACGAAUAUUGAUCAUAAAUCAAGGCUAACAACAAAGUAGCUUUGGAAAAAUAUGAACUCAAAAGUAUACUCUAUUUAAAUCCUAAAAAAGAAUCAGAUACCCUGACCCUGAAGAUUUCUGGACCUAGAUAAGUAGGAAUGAAAAGAAACAGGGCUGGUCAAACAAACCAGAAAAAAAGUAUGUGCCUUGGGCAAACUGAACUUGAUGGAGGUCAGGUGCAAAAGAAGUAUAGAUGUCUGCCUAGGCCUAUCCAUGACCCUUGAAGAGGCCUGGGCCAAAAAAAGAAGUGAUGUGGGCCUGAGCCUAUUCCCAAAACUUGAAGAGGCCUGGGCCUAAUGAAGAAGUGAUGUGGGCCUGGGCCUUUCUCUGACCCUUGAAGAGGCCCAGGCCAAAAGCAAGAAUUGAUGUGGGCCUGGGCCUAUCCCCGACCCUUGAAGAGGCCUGUGCCUAAUGAAGAAGUGAUGUGUACCUGGGCCUAUUCCCAAACCUUGAAGAGGCCUGGGCCUAGUGAAGAAGUGAUGUGGGCCUGGGCCUAAUGAAGUGAUGUGGGCCUGGGCCUAUCCCUGACCCAUGAAGAGGCCUGGGCCUAAUGAAGAAGUGACGUGGGCCUGGGCCUAUCCCUGACACUUGAAGAGGCCUGGGCCUAAUGAAGAAGUGAUGUGGGCCUGGGCCUAUCCCCAACCUUUGAAGAGGCCCAGGCCACAAACAAGAAUUGAUGUGGGCCUGGGCCUUUCCCUGUCCCUUGAAGAGGCCUGGGCCUAAUGAAGUAUUUUGGGCCUGGGCCAAUCCCGAACCAUUGAAGAGGCCUAGGCCUAAUGAAGAAAUGAUGUGUGCCUGGGCCUAUCCCCAGCCCUUGAAGAGGCCCGGGCCAAAAGCAAGAAGUGAUGUGGACCUGGGCCUAUUCCCAACCCUUGAAGAGGCCUGGGCCUAAUGAAGUGAUGUGGGCCUGGGCCUAUCCCCAACCCUUAAAGAGGCCUGGGCCAAAAGCAAGAAGUGAUGUGGGCCUGGGCCUAUCUCUGAACCUUGAAGAGGCCCGGGCCUAAUGCAAGAAGUGAUAUGGGCCUGGGCCUAUCCCUGACCCUUGAAGAGGCCCGGGCCUAAUGCAAGAAGUGAUAUGGGCCUGGGCCUAUCCCUGACCCUUGAAGAGGCCCGGGCCUAAUUAAGAAGCGAUGUGGGCCUGGGCCUAUCCUUAACCCUUGAAGAAUCCUGGGCCUAAUGAAGAAGCAAUGUGGGCCUGGGCCUAUCCCCAACACUUGAAGAGGCCCAGGCCACAAACAAGAAGUGAUGUGGGCCUGGGCCUUUCCCUGUCCCUUGAAGAGGCCCAGGCCACAAACAAGAAGUGAUGUGGGCCUGGGCCUUUCCCUGUCCCUUGAAGAAGCCCAGGCCUAAUGCAAGAAGUGAUAUGGGCCUGGGCCUAAUGAAGUAUUUUGGGCCUGGGCCUAUCCCCAACCCUUGAAGAGGCCCGGGCCACAAACAAGAAGUGAUAUGGGCCUGGGCCUAUCCCUGACCCUUGAAGAGUCCUCGGCCUAAUGAAUAAGUGAUGUGGGCCUGGGCCUAUCCCUGACCCUUGAAGAGGCCUGGGCCUAAUGAAGUGAUGUGGGCCUGGGCCUGUCCCCAACCUUUGAAGAGGCCCAGGCCACAAAUAAGAAUGAUGUGGGCCUGGGCCUUUCCCUGUCCCUUGAAGAGGCCUGGGCCUAAUGAAGUAUUUUGGGCCUGGGCCAAUCCCGAACCAUUGAAGAGGCCUAGGCCUAAUGAAGAAAUGAUGUGUGCCUGGGCCUAUCCCCAACCCUUGAAGAGGCCCGGGCCAAAAGCAAGAAGUUUUGUGGGCCUGGGCCUAUCCCCAACCCUUGAAGAGGCCUGGGCCUAAUGAAGAAGUGAUGUGGGCCUGGGCCUAUCCCCAACCCUUGAAGAGGCCCGGGCCAAAAGCAAGAAGUGAUGUGGGCCUGGGCCUAUCCCUGACCCUUGAAGAGGCCCGGGCCUAAUGCAAGAAGCAAUAUAGGCCUGGGCCUAUCCCUGACCCUUGAAGAGGCCCGGGCCAAAAGCAAGAAGUGAUGUGGGCCUGGGCCUAUCCCUGACCCUUGAAGAGGCCCGGGCCUAAUUAAGAAAUGAUGUGGGCCUGGGCCUAUCCCUGACUCUUGAAGAGGCCCAGGCCUAAUGAAGAAGCAAUGUGGGCCUGGGCCUAUCCUUAACCCUUGAAGAGUCCUAGGCCUAAUGAAGAAUUGAUGUGGGCCUUGGCCUAUCCCCAACCCUUGAAGAGUUCUGGGCCUAAUGAAGAAUAGAUGUGGGCCUGGGCCUAUCCCCAACCCUUGAAGAGGCCUGGGCCUAAUGAAGAAGUGAUGUGUGCCUAUGUCUAUCCCCAACCCUUGAAGAGGCCCGGGCCAAAAGCAAGAAGUGAUGUGGGCCUGGGCCUAUCCAUGACCCUUGAAGAGGCCUUGGCCGAAUACAAGAAGUGGUGUGGGCCUGGGCAUAUCCAUGAUCCUUGAAGAGGCCUAAGCUGAAUACAAGAAGUGGUAUUGGCGUGGGCCUAUCUCUAACCCUGGAAGUGGCCCAGGUCAAAUGUAAGAAGCAAUAUGGGCACAGGCCUAUCCCUGACCCUUGAAGAGGCCUGGGCGAAAUGCAAGAAGUGAUGUCACCUGGGCCUAUACCUUACCCUUGAAGAGUCCUGGGCUAAAAGCAAGAAUUGGUGUGGGCCUGGGCCUAUCUCUUUACCUGAGGAGUCUUGUCCCAAAACUAGAUGUUGGCCUAGGCCAAGCCCUGACCCUGAAGAUGCCCAGAUCCAAAAUAAGCAGAAAUGUGGGCAGCCUGUGCCAACCUCUGACCCUGAAGAGGCCUAGGCCAAAACAACAAGAAUUGGUGCCUGGCCCUUUCCCUAAUCCUCAAGAGGCCCAAGGCAAAGUAGAAGAUAUGUGGACCGAGGUCUGACCUCUAUGAAGCCUGGACCCUAGCAAGCAGAGGAUAUUGAUGUAGGCCAUUUUUUUUUUAAAAAGAGGCAUGGACCAUGCUAAGAAAAAGUGUAUUUCUAAUGCAAACUGUGACUCUGAAGACAGGCCAUAUAAAAAAAUGUUUAACACCAUUUACCAUAACCAGAACAAACCAAAGCCUCAUUUGUGACCAAGGUCGAUCAAUAAUCACAAUAUAUUUGGACUUACUACCAUUCCUGCACAGAUCACUGACAUCAGAUCAUAGGUUGUGAAUCUCAUCAAUGAUAAUCUGGAAACUCCUUGUGUACCACUAUGGUUUGUGGGCUGCAUCUGGCAUUCUUCCAAAAGAGGCAACGAUCUCAUAUCAGUUGUGUUAAGACCAUAUCAUUGCUUUCAAGUGGUCACGCAUGAACAUAACAAGGAGACACCUUGGAAUCAAAGGUGUGGGAGCUCCACUCAGAAAUUCUCUGUUCCCAGGUCUUCCUAGAUGAGGCCCUUUAGAGUCAAGGAGAAGCUGACCUCAAGUGUGACCUGAGCCAUACCCACUACUCCAGGAAGGUUGGACACAGUUUAACCACAAGGAGAGCUGGUCUGAUAAGUGCAAUGAUGGCAAAAGCCAUAAAGUGACAUCAGUGGGAUCCUGGCAGCCUUCUGACUACAGAGUACCCUGGGUCCAGCUUAACUUCAAGAGUGUAUGGGCCACACCCUUUCUUUUUAUGAUCUUGGACAAUCUUCACUACAAGGAAGCCUUGUAGUCUUACAUUAUUCUUUAGCAGGCAUUUCAUGCCCUAGCAUUGUGUAUCUAGUUUUCAAUAAAUAUAACUUUCACC
rnacentral:lncRNA from 1 species